ensembl:lncRNA
GCGGGAGGAGAGCGUGAGAGAGAGGAAGAGAGAGAGAAAGCGGCAAGCAGAAAGCUCAUAGCUAAGGAGCGAGAGCAGCAUCAGAAGAAGAGGAUCGCUUUAAAAAGGACAAAAUAAGGAAAAAACAAAAAAGGAAACUCACCAGUCCUGCUGAUGGUCAUACGUCAACUUUAAGUGGCUAAAAUCUCAGUGAGUAGGAGAGAGAGAGAAAAGUAAAUUCAUCACCACCAUGAAGCUGUGGAGCCGUGUCUGCUUCCUCGUUCUAGCAGUUUCUCCUAUUUGCCUGGGACAAAAUGGUACAAGUCAUGAGCAACCCAACGCCUGGAGGCACAGUGGCUACUACUCUAACAAGUACUAAUGUACCAACAAAAGAGACUACCAGCAUAGUCACACAAGGAGGAGCACACCGUGGUGGUAAAAUGACUCAAACAACACCAAGUACCAGCUCAGGAACUACAGCACCCCCUCCACCUGGCUCGUCUGCAGGUUAUGUUGUCCUGGCGCUUAUCAUCAUAGUGAUUAUAAUUCUGUGUAUCAUCCUCUACCUCUUGAGGCGAGCCUCCAGGACAUAUUCAUUUGACCUCCAGCGUCCAAAUCCUGUUGGUCAUCUCAACCAGCCCACUGGCACCUUUGAGCCAGUCUACCUGGAUGAUCUGGAGCGACCGGUACCUAAAGAUAUUGAAGCCACCGAUGACCUUUCACCUCCACCGGUCGCUAAUGGCACGAGUCUACAGUCGGAGGAAAAGGACUCCACUGGAGAGAACGCUCCUGAGGAACAGCCAGAAGCAAAUGGUGUGGAGACUUCACCCGCUGAAAACACCACUCCCUCACUGAGUAGCGAUGAAGCUGACAAGAUAUCCAACCCACCGAGCAGUACCAGCCUUUUCUUUGAUGCUAUUGGGGAGCAGCAGAAUGAAAACAACAACAACCCAACAGUUUGCUCCAGUGACCCAUUUGUUGAAAUAAACCUGGACGAGCCGGCAUGGUGUGAUCAGCUCCUCAAUUCUUCUGAAGGUUCUUCCUCGGUCUUCCCCUUCUCUCCAUUCUCUUUAUCCUCCUCUUCCUCUUAGCACUUUGAAUGUUAUCCUCUUCCAUCAACAUAUAGGCAGAGAUUGUCUUUCGUAGCACAUGGACAUGAGCACAACAUGUGUUUUUUUUCCCAAAGCUAGUAUGGAUUGUGAAGUGAACAACCAAGGAAUUAACAUCAACCUGUAAACAUGAAGCUAGCUUUAACUGAUUUCUUAUUGUGUUUUUAUAUGUUUUUGUUCAAAUUUAUUGGUCUCAUUUAGUAUUUUUUCUAAGACUAUAUGAAGGACUUUAAACUGAUUUUAAUUGAAUUGUUUGAAACUGAGCAAUUUGGGAAGCUCAAAGAGGCAGUCCAAAAUUGCAUCGAAGAAAAAGAAGGAUUGAAGAAAUGUUAAUCACAACUUUUCCUGCAUUUAACUGACUUAUUAUUAUUGUUGCCUAACCACACUGCAAACUUCAUACCAAAGGAAGUAAAAUAAGCAAGGUAGCUUAUUUGUGACAUCUAGACUAAGCAAUAACGCCUGAACUUUUUUUUUUUUUCCAAAUGUCAUCACUUCAUGAGCGUAUAGAUUGGCUGCAGUUCCUCUCAGAUCUAACAUCCUUUGAAGUAGGCUAAAGUUUUCUCAGAAGAGAUGUUUGGUUUUAAGUCAGAUUAUUUUUGGGGAAAUUAGUGUGUACAAAGUACUCAUAUAGGAAACAGUUGAUUAACUUUUUGUACAGUUUAAUAUUGCAAUAAUAAGUUAUGGUUGUAAUCCCAAGACGCAAAUGGACAUACACAAGAAUGAUGCUUCAUUUGGGAACCACAUCUCAUUACCAAUAAACAUAAAACUAGCUUUAACGCUUCCUUAUGAUUUUUUUGUUUGUUUUAUACAUUAUCAGCACAUCAAACUUAAAUCAAAUGAGUUUUUUCCUAAAAUGUAGCAUUUUUCUACUUCAUUUUAUUUACUAAAGCAUCAUAAAACAAGAUUAAAGUUAACUUUAGCAGUGACAACUGUUACUCUCAAAUUAUCGAUGUAGGCUAGUUUCCCCUAAACCUACAGGGAGAUUUGUGAAAUCUCUGAACUAUAAAAAUACACUCUGUGUCAUAAUUGCUGUAAAUAUUUUUGUACACGAUAUAUUUUUUUUAGUAGAAUACUGUGAAUUAUUCACAUUUAUUCAAGUUCUAUAUUUUAAUUUUGUGACUCUGGAGGUUUCCAUUCUACUAGAUGUUUAAAUGCUUUCGUUUCUUUUAACCUACAUUUAUUUUGUCAUUUUUUUAAUAAACUGGUUUCUUUUCAGAAGCUAACUAAAUAUACAUUUCACCACUGCCAUUUUCCUCAAAGUGCUAAUUCAAACUGAUAUAUAAAUAUAUAAUUUUCUGACUAAUGUUAAAAAAAACAAACAUUGAGAAGUGUUACUUUGUUUCAUGUUAAAAAUCAAAUUGAUUCAAAUAAAACUAUUUUUUUUUCAGAAUUUCACUGUUAUCCCUUCUUCAUUCUUUUUAUUAUCCUGAUGGUUAAAAUGUCUCUCACUUAACUAAUUUUUGGGUUUAAUUCCAUUUGCUGCCUUACUCACACCAAACCUUUUCAGAAAGUCAUCUGUAUAUUCUUUG